AGGGUGUAAACGCUGCAGACUUGGUGUUGGAAGCCCUUUGGGGGCAUUCAGUGCCGGAGAGAAGUUGUUAAGUCUGCUACUUGGGGAGUACGUCCGCAAGGAUGAAACUUAAAGGAAUUGGCGGGGGAGCACCGCAACGGGAGGAGCGUGCGGUUUAAUUGGAUUCAACACCGUAAAACUCACCAGGGAAGACUGUUACAUGAAGGCCGAGAUGAAGACUCUGCUAGAUUUUCAGAGAGGUGGUGCAUGGCGUCAGUG
rnacentral:rRNA from 1 species